rnacentral:lncRNA from 1 species
UUUGGGUGGAAGAAGACAUAGGAGGGGAUAUGUUGUCACUUAAAACUUGUCUAGUGUAUGGAUUGGACCAAAUACUAGAAGGUAUUUCCUGUGUCUAUCCACGUGCCACCUAUCUGUGCAUGUGUUAUAGGAGAUGGGCAGUUUCUCAGCUAGAGUGUAUCAUCAGAAUGUUUGGUGUACUGAUAGGGCUUUUUUCUCUAUUUCUCCCAGUUUUUCCCAGUUCACUGGAUUUAGAACUGCUUGACUGACACUUAAAUACUACAUGUAAAGGGGCACUUUACAUCAGGGAAACUAUUAUACAGAAUGGGUAAACAGUGCAGGAAAGGGAGUGGUUGUAAAUGGGAAAGUCAUGGCCGUUCUAGUUGCAGUACUGCCAUGACCCCAGCCACAUCUAAGAUGUCUUCACAGGUAAGCUUUGUGUCCACAGCACAAGGAAUAUUUAAUGUUAUGAUCUGGGCUACCUUCAGUACUGUCUUGCAAAGCUUCAUCAACUUGGCUUUAUGAUUCUUGCUUUAUUGUGAAUGUCCAGUACACAUUGUAAUGUACUGUUCAGUUAUGUCUUCGGGUCACAAUCAUCUUCAUAUAUAGUGUGUGCAUUCAUAGACAUUUGAAUACAUGAAUAGUCUGAGUAUGAAAUAU